AUUGAACGCUGGCGGCAUGCUUUACACAUGCAAGUCGAACGGUAACAGGCCGCAAGGUGUUGACGAGUGGCGAACGGGUGAGUAAUGCAUCGGAACGUGCCCAGUCGUGGGGGAUAACGCAGCGAAAGCUGCGCUAAUACCGCAUACGAUCUAUGGAUGAAAGCGGGGGACCGUAAGGCCUCGCGCGAUUGGAGCGGCCGAUGUCAGAUUAGGUAGUUGGUGGGGUAAAGGCUCACCAAGCCAACGAUCUGUAGCUGGUCUGAGAGGACGACCAGCCACGCUGGGACUGAGACACGGCCCAGACUCCUACGGGAGGCAGCAGUGGGGAAUUUUGGACAAUGGGCGCAAGCCUGAUCCAGCAAUGCCGCGUGCAGGAAGAAGGCCUUCGGGUUGUAAACUGCUUUUGUACGGAACGAAACGGCUCUCACUAAUACUGGGGGCUAAUGACGGUACCGUAAGAAUAAGCACCGGCUAACUACGUGCCAGCCGCCGCAGUAAUAC
rnacentral:rRNA from 1 species